rnacentral:rRNA from 1 species
UACGUAGGGUGCGAGCGUUAAUCGGAAUUACUGGGCGUAAAGCGUGCGCAGGCGGUUCGCUGUGUCCGAUGUGAAAGCCCCGGGCUUAACCUGGGAAUGGCAUUGGAAACUGGCGGGCUUGAGUGUGGCAGAGGGGGGUGGAAUUCCGCGUGUAGCAGUGAAAUGCGUAGAGAUGCGGAGGAACACCGAUGGCGAAGGCAGCCCCCUGGGCUAACACUGACGCUCAGGCACGAAAGCGUGGGGAG